rnacentral:rRNA from 1 species
AUUGAACGCUGGCGGCAGGCCUAACACAUGCAAGUCGAGCGGUAGAGAGGUGCUUGCAUCUCUUGAGAGCGGCGGACGGGUGAGUAAUGCCUAGGAAUCUGCCUAGUGGUGGGGGAUAACGUUCGGAAACGGACGCUAAUACCGCAUACGUCCUACGGGAGAAAGCGGGGGAUCUUCGGACCUCGCGCCAUUAGAUGAGCCUAGGUCGGAUUAGCUAGUUGGUGAGGUAAUGGCUCACCAAGGCGACGAUCCGUAACUGGUCUGAGAGGAUGAUCAGUCACACUGGAACUGAGACACGGUCCAGACUCCUACGGGAGGCAGCAGUGGGGAAUAUUGGACAAUGGGCGAAAGCCUGAUCCAGCCAUGCCGCGUGUGUGAAGAAGGUCUUCGGAUUGUAAAGCACUUUAAGUUGGGAGGAA